CAUAGCGUAAUGAAGCGAACCGGGGGAACUGAAACAUCUAAGUACCCCGAGGAAAAGAAAUCAACCGAGAUUCCCCCAGUAGCGGCGAGCGAACGGGGAGCAGCCCAGAGUCUGAAUCAGCUUGUGUGUUAGUGGAACGGUCUGGAAAGUCCGACGGUACAGGGUGAUAGUCCCGUACACCAAAAUGCACAGGUUGUGAACUCGAAGAGUAGGGCGGGACACGUGGUAUCCUGUCUGAAUAUGGGGGGACCAUCCUCCAAGGCUAAAUACUCCUGACUGACCGAUAGUGAACCAGUACCGUGAGGGAAAGGCGAAAAGAACCCCGGCGAGGGGAGUGAAAAAGAACCUGAAACCGUGUACGUACA
rnacentral:rRNA from 1 species